AGUUAUUGCCAGGGUUUUUAUUUUGUACUUCAAACCUUAAAUUUAUUUUUUAUGUUUUUUAAAUAUUCAUGUUUUUGAAUAUUUAAUUCAAAUAAUGUAAAAAAUAAAAUAGAUAUUGACAUGGAUUGAACAAAGAUAUAUAUUAUUUUAUGUUGUAUAAACAAAUUGGCAAAAUAGAGAUGGAAGAUAAAAAUAUGG
rnacentral:misc_RNA from 1 species